CUCUCUCUCUCAUUCGAGCGCUCUCUCUCUCUCCCCCUUGCUCUAUUUCCCCCUUUCCGAUUGUUACUUUAGGGUUUUAUAUGCUUGAUUCAGUUUAAUUUCGUGUUGAUUUAUGAAAUUGGUUUCGUUGUUGUAGUUUGAUUUCGAAACUUCUAGGGUUUGAUUUCUACACAUAAAUCCCAAAUUCAAGCUCAAAACAGGCCAUCCAAAUUUUGUGUUGAUUUCUCAAAAACUCUUGGUUUAUGAGUACAUGCAGAUGGGUAGCUUUUUCGGCAUCAUCUUUUUGGUAUCAUUGGCAACCAAUUUUCUCCUGCAGAUAUUCUCAUUAUGGGCUGAGAGCAUAAAGAAUGGGGGCUUGAGCUAUACAAGUGACAAUGUUGGGGUUGUUCUUGCUGUAACAGAAAGAUCUUGUUAUAUAUGAAAUGAAUGUUCGUGCUUUUACGCCCGGUGAAUUCAGUGGGCAAGAUCCAAGCAUACGUGGCAGCUAGCUUGGUGUUAUUGAGAUGGUACGGGUAUUUUGAAAAGUGAUGCCGGAGAGUUGAGGGAGAGAUGCUUGUCCUUUCUUCUGGAACAACUAAAGGUGUUGUUGCUAAUUUUCACGAACUGUGGUUUCACCGUUUAUCUUGAUCACCACAUUAUGAACAUGGUGCAUUUGUUGUUUGCUUUCCUUGCUUUGGGAACUAUCUGAGAAUUUUCCAAAGUGGCCAGAUUUGGUCCACUUUAUAAUGCAAUCUUUCUUUCCUUACAAACCAA